AGCGAACGUUAGCGGCGGGCCUAACACAUGCAAGUCGAGCGAGAAAAGGGCUUCGGCCCUUAGUAAAGCGGCGGACGGGUGAGUAACACGUAGGUAAUCCUCCCUUGAGCGGGGGACAACGAGCCGAAAGGCUCGCUAAUACCGCAUACGUUUCUCGGGACUCCGGUCCUGAGAAGGAAAGCUAGGCCGCAAGGUCCGGCACUCGAGGAGGAGCCUGCGUCGCAUCAGCUAGUUGGUGGGGUAACGGCCUACCAAGGCGAAGACGCGUAGCUGGUCUGAGAGGAUGAUCAGCCACACUGAAACUGAGACACGGUUCAGACUCCUACGGGAGGCAGCAGUGGGGAAUAUUAGACAAUGGGCGCAAGCCUGAUCCAGCCACGCCGCGUGAGUGAUGAAGGCCUUCGGGUCGUAAAGCUCUGUGGGAAGGGACGAACCGCCGUAGUUCGAUAGCUAACGGCAUGACGGUA
rnacentral:rRNA from 1 species